rnacentral:tmRNA from 1 species
GGGGAUGACAGGCUUCGACGGGAGAGGCUGGCCCCGGAAUGCGUGCCGAGAGUGCGCCGACCUCGUAAAAUCAGCGCAAAAAAUCAAGUGCCAACCGCACUUCCUACGCCGCUAUGCCCCUCGCCGCCUAAUCGCGGUUGAGAGCAAAACGGUCCAUACCCGCAGAGGUAUGGCGUCUGCCGCUCCCGUAGUCUGCCCGGAGAGUGUGCGGGCGUGAUAAAGGCAGAAUGCCGCGCCGCCAAGCCGCUAACGGUGCGAAAGAGGGCCUUCGGGCCCAAGCGGAUGGCCUCGGGAGAAUUUUGCUUGUUGAGUUCCCCGCGGCGACACCUUCAACCAGCUACGCAUGUAGACUUCCGGCGGUCGAAUCUUUCGGACGCGGGUUCGAUUCCCGCCAUCUCCACUC